GACAAACGCUGGCGGCGUGCCUAAAACAUGCAAGUCGAACGGUCCCUUCGGGGACAGUGGCGGACGGCUGAGUAACACGUGGGUAACCUACCCUUCCAGUGGGGAACAACCCGCCGAAAGGCGAGCUAAUACCGCAUACGAUCAGUGGUCUCUGGGCUGCUGAGGAAAGUCGUAAGACGCCGGAGGAUGGGCCUGCGGCCGAUUAGCUAGUUGGUGGGGUAACGGCCUACCAAGGGGAUGAUCGGUAGCUGGGCUGAGAGGAUGAUCAGCCAGACUGGGAAUGUGGCACGGCCCAGAAGCCUACGGGAGGCAGCAGUUAGGAAUUUUGGGCAGUGGGCGCAAGCCUGACCCAGCAACGCCGCGUGGGUGACGAAGGCCUUCGGGUCGUAAAGCCCUUUUCCCGGGGACGAUGAUGACGGUACCCGGGGAAUAAGCCCCGGCUAACUACGUGCCAGCCGCCGCCGUAAUAC
rnacentral:rRNA from 1 species